GGAUGAGCCCGCGGCCUAUCAGCUUGUUGGUGGGGUAACGGCCUACCAAGGCGAUGACGGGUAGCCGGCCUGAGAGGGCGACCGGCCACACUGGGACUGAGACACGGCCCAGACUCCUGCGGGAGGCAGCAGUGGGGAAUAUUGCGCAAUGGGCGGAAGCCUGACGCAGCGACGCCGCGUGGGGGAUGAAGGCCUUCGGGUUGUAAACCUCUUUUACCACUCACGAAGGCCCCUGGUUUUCUGGGGGUUGACGGUAGGUGGUGAAUAAGGACCGGCUAACUACGUGCCAGCAGCGCGGA
rnacentral:rRNA from 1 species